GGUGUCCCCCGAGUCCUAACGCCGCCGCCGUUGCCGCCGCCGCCGCCCGCCCGGGCGCUCCGCCUCGGCCGUGCACACACCCUCGCGCGCACGCCCGCGCCUGGCACACGCCCGCGGCUAGCACACGCGGGCUCCCCCGCGCACCCUCUCUGGGGCCGACCAGCUCGGGCCGCUGGCACAGUCACGCGCGUCCACACAUCACCCCCGCACCCACUCGCCGGGCAGGGUCCUCGCCUCUUCGCCCCGCGCCGCGCCGCGCAGCCAAGCAUCGUCUGCCCUGUGGGGGCGCAGUUGGAUCUGCCUCCUGGGGAAGUAACAGCCGGGAUGCCCUUCCAGGUGACCUUCGUUUGGAGAUUGGGUGUGCUCCAGCUCCUGGACUUUUUUAAAUUCCUGGAAUUGUGUCUCUCUAUCAUGGGGCUGGUACUAUUACCAUACGUUUCAGAAAACAGCAUCUGUUUACAAAGCGUUUUAUUAUACAAUACAGAAAUACAUUUCACCCCAAAUGAUAACAGUGAACUUCAGCCCCCAGAAUCUCCUUCUCCCCUUCGUGAAACAGAGCUGGGAUGACGGCAGAGGACUCCAGAACGCACUGAGAUUGUUCCUUGGCAUGACAAAUGGCAAAGGACUCUAGAACGCAGAGAUUGUUCCUUGGUGUGACGGGCCAGACAGCACACCUUUCUUCAAGCCAUUCUCACAUCAAAUAAAACGUUGAUAAAUCAUUGUUUCUCUAAGCUUGAAAAAUGCUAAUAACUCAAGACAAGAUGAAAGUGAGUUUGUUGAAAUCAACGUGAAGGAUCGAGGGUACCAACUUGGAAUGUAAAACCAUAGAAAAUACCAUCUGGGAACACGGAAAUCAUCUGUGUUAUCUGGAAGCCUGUCUCCAGAGUGGCAAACUUAGGGACUGGUUUGAGGACAGAGUGUGCCCUGUGUGCUGGGGAGGGAUGUGAAGGACUGGGAUGGAGGAGGGGGGGUUCGAGAUGUUCUUUUACCCAUAAAUACACUGUACAUCACCGUCUGCCACUGAAGCUUAAGGAUUGAAAACCUUGGGGAUGUUUCACUGGUUUUGCUUCCACCUCCGCAAUGUUUGAACUUGCAUUUUGUGAGCCGCGUAUGCAACUAAAAGCCUUACAUGCAUUACCCACCCUUCACCUCUCUUACUAGUCCUAUUUACAGGUGAGAAAACUGAGGCACAAGGAGUUUUGCUGAUUCGGGAUUGUUACGGGUUUUAGGUUUUGUUUUCCUCCUGCCAGCUCCUGGACUUUUUAAAAUUCCUGUAAUUGUGUCUCCCAAUCAUGGGCCAGGAAUAUGAGAAUCAGCUGUGAACUUCGAGCCUGUCCAUCUCAAAACUCUUCAUCUCCAAGACAUUUCAAUAGAGCUUUGCCAGUAAACAAAAAUAAAUACGGUUCGGUUUACCCAGAAGCCAAAUCCCUUGUAAGAAGUUCUGGGCCAGUUUCUUCCCAGAGCGGGAGAAUAUACAGUUGUAGUUUGAGUUGAUUUUAUUUCUUUGAGGCUUUGUUUUUCUAGUCUUCCAGGCCUUAACCUCACUCCCUCAGGAACAGCUGAAAUAUGAGAAGAGAUCAUAUGGCCCCCAAAAAGUCCCCAGAUUAACCAAGAUUGAUGCCACCCAGGGCCCAGUUGGGGGUCAACACCCUGUGUCAGGUGCGCUCUCUGUAUAAUUCCUGUUUCCUGUGAGAAGAGCAUUAAAGGCCCGUGAAUGUUUUAAAAUGAAAUGCAACCUCUUAAUAAUCAGGUUUCUCCACUCUGCUAGGAUUCCAAAAAAAAAAUCAGCAACUGACAAAUGUUAAAAAUUUCCUCGCUGCUAAUCAUGCUUCCCCCUGAUUCCCUUUCUUUCCCUCCUCUCUCUCUUCUAACAUGAAUUUAUUUUCUAUUUGAAAGCCAAUCUCACUGGUUAUUAGAUAUUCUCCCUGCUGUCACUAUCAGUAAAUUAUUAAACAGCUGACCAAGCUUUGUUUUAAAAUGAUUCUCUUAUGAAGCUCAGUGAUAUAUUUGCUAUGAAUACUGAAUGGUGCCGUGGUCUCUAAGGACACGUGAAUGAUUCCUAUUUACUACCUUUAGCAAAAUGUGUGUGCAAUUAGCGGCAAGAACUUGACUUGAAUCACAGUUACUAGGGAUGCCUGUAGCUCAUUUACAUGGAGCUCCCUUUACUCAUUACACUCCUGCCCGGGAGAAGCGUGUUAAGAUUCUAGGCCAGGUCACGAAAUAGCAUAUAGACUUGUCUUUUGUCAUUCCUCACCUCCUUUCUUGUCUUGCCACUGCUGAGCCUUGACAUACCUGUGGGAAUCCUUUGUUUCAUGGAGCAGCGGGUUCUAAGUGAAUUUUUGCUUAAAGAAAAUAAACGUGAUUGAGAGAAAAUUACUUACCUGUCUGUGUCUCUGCUUCUCAUCUAUAAAAUGGUCGUCAUAAUUUCUACCUCAUGGAUUCUAUAAUGAGAACAAAGUGCUGAGCACAGUGCCUAGCAUCGGGUAAAUAUUUGGGAGGUGAUGGGUACUUAUUCUCCUGUUGACUGCUGCAUUAGUCCAAACUCUCAGUUGUAAGUGACAGAGACCUAUCUCCAAUUCACCUGAGCCAAAGAGGAAACACAGUGGCUUCCCUAAUCAAACAGUGGUUGAUCAGUCAAGGUCUAACUUGGAAAACAGAAACUGCUUCAAGUAUUUGCAACAGAGGGGAUUUAAUGCAGGAAAUUGGCUACACAGAUGAUGAGAGAGCUGAGAGACCAGGAAGGGAGAGGAAGGUAACGCACAAAUACACGAGCGCAAGAAGCUACUGCCAGGCCGAAGAUGGAUGGAUACAGGUGCUGGAAGCCUAGGAGUACAUGAAUUCAUGGAAGCUGGAACCCUGACAGAUGUGUUCAGGGGAAGCUGAGGCCAAGGAGGAUACUCCUUUGCUGCUGGAGAA
rnacentral:lncRNA from 1 species